CGUCAAGUCAUCAUGGCCCUUACGACCAGGGCUACACACGUGCUACAAUGGCGCAUACAAAGAGAAGCGACCUCGCGAGAGCAAGCGGACCUCAUAAAGUGCGUCGUAGUCCGGAUUGGAGUCUGCAACUCGACUCCAUGAAGUCGGAAUCGCUAGUAAUCGUGGAUCAGAAUGCCACGGUGAAUACGUUCCCGGGCCUU
rnacentral:rRNA from 1 species